rnacentral:rRNA from 1 species
GACGAACGCUGGCGGCGUGCUUAACACAUGCAAGUCGAACGGGAGUAUCGAAGAAGCUUGCUUUUAAGAUACUUUAGUGGCGGACGGGUGAGUAACGCGUGAGGAGCUGUCCUAUGCAGGGGGACAACAGUUGGAAACGACUGCUAAUACCCCAUAAGCCGAGAGGUAAAAGGAGCGAUCCGGCAGAGGAGGGACUCGCGUCCUAUCAGCUAGUAGGUGGGGUAACGGCUCACCUAGGCGAAGACGGGUAGCCGGCCUGAGAGGGCGAACGGCCACACUGGAACUGAGAUACGGUCCAGACUCCUACGGGAGGCAGCAGUGGGGAAUAUUGGGCAAUGGGGGCAACCCUGACCCAGCGACGCCGCGUGGGUGAAGAAAUCCUUCGGGAUGUAAAGCCCCGUUGUAUGGGAAGAGCAGAAGACGGUACCAUACGAGGAAGCCCCGGCAAACUACGUGCCAGCCGCCGCUGUAA